rnacentral:rRNA from 1 species
CAGUAGCCGCGGUAAUACGUAGGUGGCAAGCGUUGUCCGGAAUUAUUGGGCGUAAAGGGCUCGCAGGCGGUUUCUUAAGUCUGAUGUGAAAGCCCCCGGCUCAACCGGGGAGGGUCAUUGGAAACUGGGAAACUUGAGUGCAGAAGAGGAGAGUGGAAUUCCACGUGUAGCGGUGAAAUGCGUAGAGAUAUGGAGGAACACCAGUGGCGAAGGCGACUCUCUGGUCUGUAACUGACGCUGAGGAGCGAAAGCGUGGGGAGCGAACAGGAUUAGAUACCCCCGUAGUCCCUGUCUCUUAUAC